CCUACGGGAGGCAGCAGUGGGGAAUAUUGCACAAUGGGGGAAACCCUGAUGCAGCGACGCCGCGUGAAGGAAGAAGUAUUUCGGUAUGUAAACUUCUAUCAGCAGGGAAGAAAAUGACGGUACCUGACUAAGAAGCACCGGCUAACUACGUGCCAGCAGCCGCGGUAAUACGUAGGGGGCAAGCGUUAUCCGGAUUUACUGGGUGUAAAGGGAGCGUAGGCGGUUCAGCAAGUCGGAAGUGAAAGCCCGGGGCCCAACCCCGGGACUGCUUUUGAAACUGGUUAACUAGAUUGCAGGAGAGGGAGGUGGAAUUCCCGGUGUAGCGGUGAAAUGCGUAGAUAUUAGGAGGAACACCAGUGGCGAAGGCGGCUUACUGGACUAUAAAUGACGCUGAGGCGCGAAAGCGUGGGGAGCAAACAGGAUUAGAUACCCGUGUAGUC
rnacentral:rRNA from 1 species